rnacentral:lncRNA from 1 species
GGCUGUCCAUGAAAAUUAUGGGAAAAAGGAAAGGAAAAUUCAUCAAAUUACCCCCAAGAGAUAAUGAUUUAACAACUUACCCAUAUCUUUUGAUUUAAUUUCAUACUAUCCAUAAAAAAACACAUGAUCUAUAGUUGGAAUAGUUGCAAAUAGAUAAAAUGUUAAAGAAAAGUAUACAACGAGGAUAUUUACCUUCGAUACAAGGUGAUUACAAUUAAUCUUGACCAUUGGAUGUGAAAUUGGGUGGCUAUAUUUAUUGCAUUGUUCAAGCUCAAAAGUCAAUAGAAAUUUUUUCGAACUUUGUGACACACGCAAGCUAUUUGAUUUCACAUCGGAUGGUUAUAAGUAAUUGUGACCUCCUUGUACCAAAGGUAAAUGUUCUUAUUGUAUAUAAUCCCAAAUGUUAAAUAGUUCAUCUCUUAUAGGUAUUUGAUAAACUGCCCAUAAGAAAAUUAUGAAUAAUAAAAUUAAAAAAAUAAAAUUGUUAAAAAAUUAAAGAUAUCUUAGAAUACUUAAUAAACAUCACCAGAUUUUAACAUAGUAUCAUUUUUCAUUUUUUUAAUAUCUUGCGAUAAUAUCACAAGAUUUUAAAUGUUGGAAUAUAGUUACCAGUAAUGCUUCAACUCAAUCAUCUUCAUUUUCACUCUAAAAGUGUAUGUAGGAGAAACCCAAAAAACAGAAACUGGCAGAUAGACAUGAAUCUUAGGACAUAAUAAUGACUCAUUCAUCAG